rnacentral:rRNA from 1 species
AACGAACGCUGGCGGCAGGCCUAACACAUGCAAGUCGAACGCCGUAGCAAUACGGAGUGGCAGACGGGUGAGUAACGCGUGGGAAUAUCCCCCUCAGUACGGAAUAGCUCAGGGAAACUUGGGGUAAUACCGUAUACGUCCGUGAGGAGAAAGAUUUAUCGCUGAGGGAUUAGCCCGCGUAGGAUUAGCUAGUUGGUGAGGUAAUGGCUCACCAAGGCGACGAUCCUUAGCUGGUCUGAGAGGACGACCAGCCACACUGGGACUGAGACACGGCCCAGACUCCUACGGGAGGCAGCAGUGGGGAAUAUUGGACAAUGGGCGCAAGCCUGAUCCAGCCAUGCCGCGUGAGUGAUGAAGGCCUUAGGGUUGUAAUGCUCUUUUGGCGGGGACGAUAAUGACGGUACCCGCAGAAUAAGCCCCGGCUAACUUCGUGCCAGCCGCCGCCGUAACAC